rnacentral:rRNA from 1 species
GAUGAACGCUGGCGGCGUGCUUAACACAUGCAAGUCGAACGGAAAGGCUCCUGCUUGCAGGGGUACUCGAGUGGCGAACGGGUGAGUAACACGUGGGUGAUCUGCCCAGCACUUCGGGAUAAGCCUGGGAAACUGGGUCUAAUACCGGAUAGGACGAUGGUUUGGAUGCCAUUGUGGAAAGUUUUUUCGGUGUGGGAUGAGCUCGCGGCCUAUCAGCUUGUUGGUGGGGUAAUGGCCUACCAAGGCGUCGACGGGUAGCCGGCCUGAGAGGGUGUACGGCCACAUUGGGACUGAGAUACGGCCCAGACUCCUACGGGACGCAGCAGUGGGGAAUAUUGCACAAUGGGCGCAAGCCUGAUGCAGCGACGCCGCGUGGGGGAUGACGGCCUUCGGGUUGUAAACUCCUUUCGCUAGGGACGAAGCGCAAGUGACGGUACCUGGAGAAGAAGCACCGGCUAACUACGUG